AUUUGGGAUGUUGUGUUAGCCAUGGCACACAGAAUGGAAGAUGUGAGCGUUUUGCUGCAGCUUCACAUCAAUUCUGUAGAAAUGAGAAGUCAGAAGGAAGUGAGCUAUCACAGCCCUUGUGUACAUGUGACUAUUCCUUGUGUUCCUUACAAGAUGGAAGAAGUGUUGGGGUUUGGGUUGCAUAGGUUUCUGUGUUUCUAUUUCUGACUUAAAAAACUGGGAAAGUGUAAACUGUGGAUUUCUAAUGUAUUAGCCUUGAAUCUUGAUUUUUUUUUUAAUUCUAAUUUGAGUUUAUCUUGUCACACCUUGAUUUUACUAAUUUGUAUUGUUUCUGACUUUUGUGUAUGCAUUUCUUUUACCUUCAUUCUUUUCACUCUCAAUAUUUGUUUCCCCCCAAAAUAUUUUUUCUUAUCACACUUCUUUUUUCUUUUUAAAUGUAUUUUUCCUGACAUAAUUUGUCUCCAUCUUGGAGUGUCAGUACAGACAGUUCACCAGUUCCCACCUAAUUGCCCAGAUAGAGCUGUUUUACAAAAUUAAUAAUAUUAACUUGAUUUAAUAUUAUUAUUAGAGAGCCCUAAGGUUCUCUGAGUAAAUAUCAGUUUAGAAAAUCACAAUAGGAUAUUCAGAUGUUCACUAAGCCUUGAUAGAACUCAGUUAAAAUUAUCAAAGAUUUAUUUUUAAAAAAAGAGCUGCAAGGGGAAAAAUUAACAAUGUUUCUCUGCUCUUUUCCAUUUUCCUAUGAACACCAGGUAUUAGCAUAAUUUUGGAGAGAGGAUGUAUAAGCAAAGCAAAGACUAUUUUCUCUAAAAGAUCCUGUGUAGAGCAGAAGUUUGCUGCAGAAAUGAAUGCCUUUCUUGUUAUCUCUAACUUCUGUUUAUCAGGCUUGGGGGUGGAGACCAGGAGCUGGGAGCAGCAUCAUUUUCAGCUGGUUGUGGGGGCCUGGGGGAGGAAAAGGAAGAGCUAUUCUUGUGUGUAGCUUCUGUAGCCUUUUGUGAGGACCCUGAGCUGCGUCAGGGUUUCUGUGAUCUCAACGCAUCCCCUCUGACAAUCGAGUGGUGCCUCCCCCUGUGUGCCUGAAUGUCCUGGCACAGACCCUCAGCUCUGCUGCCUGCUGGAGUUGGUGGCUUUUUGCUCAUUUAAUUGAGGGAAAAAAACAGAAAAUUCCACAGAUAUUGGAGGGUUUGAUCUGCAGCCCUGGAAGAAGCUUGGAUUGUUGUAAAAAUACAAUAUACAGACAUUAAGCAGAAAAAUCAUAAACUUAUGUUUCUAGAGUUGUAAGUAAGAAUACGUCUUAAGUAAGUGAGAAACUGGAUAAGUAAGAUGGUGAAAAGUUUAUAGUGUAGUAAUAUAAUAGUAUGGAGUAGGUUGGGAGUUUAGAAGUUAUACUAUGUAUGCCUGUGAGUUAAAAGCCCAUUGGAUAAGAGUACCCAGAGUGCAGCAGAAUUAAGUAAAGGUAAUAGGCUAGAAAAACAAAAUACACCCUGUGGCAACUGCCCAUUGGGCUAGUAAGUUCUAUACUGCCUUGUAACAAAGAAUUUGGGACUACUCUGAGCUAUGACUGACUGCUUGCUCCUCCAAAAUCUCAGCCUCUGAGACUGAUGUUUAUCUGAGCAAUAAAUCGUUCUUAUCUUAAAAAUAAUCCCAUCCCUUCAUUACUAACAGCAACAAUAAUAACGUCCAAACCUGGACUCAAGGCUUCACCACCUGAGGCUUCCAGAAAAUCUGGGAACAGCAGCUCUGUGUGGCUCUCAGGCUUUUGUCUGACCUGCAGCUUCAGGUGUUGUGCACACAACCACACAAGGACAGUCAGAGCCUGGUCUUUGGAAGAUAUUUAUGCCAAUUUGUGGGAUAAGUUACAGUCAUUGGGCUGGAGAAAUAAAUAUUUUCUAUGAAAUGCGCCAACAGUUGAAAUAUUAUUGAGUCACAACAGUCCUAUUUAGCAGUGAUAGAAGAAUAAAAUUCAGCAUAUGCUGAGAAAGCAGGGCACUAGGUUUGUGUCCUCCUUUUUCACUACAGAGAAGUGAGGAUGCAGUGUGUGAUUUCAAAGAACUGUGACUGAAAUCAACUCUUUUGGCUUAAACUUUUGUUUCAUUUUUCUUUGAAGAUGGUUUACUUUAUUUUUACUUGUGCAUGAAAGUUCAGAUCUUUGUGCUCUGAAAUCUUUAAGAGUUCUUUUAGAAUUUGUCAUAGCAAAGGUCUUAGCUCCUUUGCCAGGCAUUUUCUCAUAUUUAGAAUCAGUUUUAGCAAUGAUUUCCAGAGGUUCCAUUUACCACUUGCUUCACUUGCCACUCGUUUCUUAGCUGAAUGCUCUGGGUGGUUUAAAACUUUGGGAUGGUAGAUGUUUUCAUUGGAGUCAGUAACUGAUGAUUUAUGUUACCUGUUAAUAAAAUUGUUCAUUUUUUCAGAUGUUUGUGGUUCUCUUGCUCUGAGCUAUACAGAGAACAAUUAAGCUGAAAUGCUCAAGACCAAUAUAUAGUGUUCUUUGUAGUCUACAAUUAGCACAACAAUUUCAGAAGGUAUACGCAUAAAGAAAAGUAGAGAAAAUUUGGUAAGGAAGAUGAAGUAUUUAUGUACAUUUUUAUGGUUUAUCUUAGCAAAUUUUUGCUUACGAUUUUCUCUAAAUUUUCUCUAAAUGUGAGUUCUUGGAUGCCUACAGAUGCAGACACAACUAGCCCACAUGCAAAUUUCCAAACUGAUGCUACGUUCAAAAUUGUUGAAACAAAAGGACAGGCUAUCUUUAAUUCUUCAUGCCUUUGGAAUUUGCAUUUUAAAUUCUGCCAAUCUAUAUAUUUAUGUGCGUCUAUUGUCUUUAACUUUAAUAAACCUAGCUGCUCCUGGUGCCUUGGGAAGGCAAAAACCUGCCACUGCUCAGAGAGGAAAAUGCACCUGGGAGGCCAAUCCCACCAUAGGUAGGGCACAAGUGCAUUUAAAAAGUGAAUUUAAACCAAAAAAGUGCAUUUAAACCCCUCAAGGAGCUGGAAACUGGGAGUUUUAUACAACCCCCACAAAACUGCUGACUACUGUCACAACAAGCAUGGUUCAAUUUUCUUUUUAACCUCAUGUCUAGUGCAUUUAACUUAGGCAUAGCUUUCACUACUUUAAAAUAACUUUCACCAGUUUCCACCACUUUCAAAACUUAUUUGGAAUAUGUGAAGUUUUUAGAUUAUUCGUUCUGAAAAGGUGUGGCUUUUGUUAAUUACUUUGCAAGCCAAGGAACUCAAAUAACCUUUAAAAGAUAUCCAUUUUCUAUUUGAUGCAAAAAAAGAGCAAGCACUUCAAAAUGCUUCUAUGAAAAUGUAUAAGAAAGUGCCAUAUGCAUUUAUAUGAAAAUUCUUCUUAUGAGUUUUUAAUCCCUGUGUCUGUAGUAUGUCAUUAUUCAUUAAUCAGCUGGAGUUUGCUUUUAGGAGGAAAAAAUCAUUAGGUGUUCUUUCAGUGAUAGCAGAAGAGUUGUGUUUAAAGCCAGAGGAAGUAAGUGAAUUACAUACAGCAUUUUUGUUGACAAAUAAGAGGAAAAGAAGACCAUAAAGACUGUAUUCGAAGGCCUGAAAAGUUAUUUUUUGGCAUUGAAGCUCACGGUGAUCUCCAUGUAAAAUCUGGACGAUUUCGUACCACUCUCCUUCUUAAUGACCCAGUAAAGUAAUUGCCAAAAACAAUUUCAGGUUCCACAUUUCUGAAUCUUCAGAUUUCCUUCUUUUUCUGUGGGGCGUUGUGCUCCACUGAUGUAAGAGGUAAUUUCUCCAAGAGAGAAAGGGCAAGAUCAAUAACUUAAUCACACACCAUAAUAUGAUAUUAUAUAUUAUAUAAUAUAUAUAUAUAUCAAACAAAAGUCUCCUGUACUAUAUGUAUGUGACUCUAUUUUGAAUUUAGUCUCUCCUUAGCUUAUAAAAUAUUCUAAUUAUUAUUACUGUUCUAUUAAUAAUUUUAAUUAUUCUUAUCAGAAAUAACCAAAUACCUUGUAAAGUCAGCGUCAAUACUGGCUGGCAGGGAAAACUUCAGUUCUUAUUAAAGUAAAUGAAUUUAUGAUGAAUGGCGACUAUUAUGAAUAAUUUUUAUAGAACAAUUAUUCAUAUUCUGGAAGGCCUCUGAAGGUAAGCCUUUUUUCUUUGGAGACAAUUCUUGCACUUUACCCCCAAUUUUGUUCUCUUCCUUUGUCUUCCUAGCUCCAUAUUGAGUGGUCUGACAUAGACUUGAACUUUCUUCUCUUUUCUGGCCUUUUCUGUGUAAAACCAUAUUGAAGUUUGACUUCCAGCUCCAAUUACCUCCAUGAAAAAUCAAAAAUUGAGUGGUGGGAUGAAGAUCCAUGCCUAACAACCACAGAUUGACUUCUGCUGAUCUCUAACACUGAUGAAAAAGGAAGUAAAAGCACCUAGCUCCCAGUUCAGUGUAAGAAGCAGAGCAGAGCCACUGAUUGUGCCCCCAAAGAGAAUUUUGGGGAAGACUUCUAAUCUCAAAACUGUACAAGGAGAUUACCUGCAAGCAGAUAAAUUCAGCAUUCAGCAGAUAUUCCUUUGGGUCCUUUCGUGUGGGCUGCAGAAAAUCCUGGAUCAGGGUCUGAGCACAUCUUGUUCUUCAGCCAGAGCCAUUUCAGCACUGAGAUGUGCAAAAUAACAUCACAGGGUGCACACAGCUGAAAUGCAGUUCUCAUUUUGGUAUACGAAGGUGAUGAAGGCACAGGGGAAGUACUUCUCUAUUAACAGAAAAGAAUUGGGAAAUUAUUCUGAGAAUCAAUCCAGAGCUAUUAUGGAAAGACUAAGUAAGUGAUGACUUUAAAUUCAAUUAUCUUGUUCAGCAUUAAGUGAUUUUAGCUUUUCACUCAGAA